CUAAAGAAGUAUAUCAUAAUUGCCUUUGCUUCAAACACACUUGGACAAAAACACACGUGUAAAAUGUAAUUCUGCCCGUCUGUGACCCUAGCUGUUCGGUUUUUAUAAACCUCUGUGGGCGUGGCACCCUCUCCAUUGAACUCCCACCUAUUGACUUUAGUGUUGUCUUUCACCGCCAGGACCUGUGCCUGGGGUGAAGAAGCAGAGCAAUGCUGACAGAGCCACGCCUGAGCAACAACACAAGCUGCGGCGCAAAACUAUGUUGCUGGAUCCAAGCAGCCUUCUAUGAAGGGGACUCGAGGACUGAGAGGGGACUCGAGGACUACUCCG